rnacentral:rRNA from 1 species
GAUGAACGCUGGCGGCGUGCCUAAUACAUGCAAGUCGAACGCAUUGAGAGAAGUGCUUGCACUUUUCAAUUUGAGUGGCGAACGGGUGAGUAACACGUGGGCAACCUACCUGAUAGCGGGGGAUAACGAGUGGAAACAUUCGCUAAUACCGCAUAACAAUAGAGAAGGCAUCUUCUUUAUUUAAAAGGCGCUUUCAAGCGUCACUAUCAGAUGGGCCCGCGGUGCAUUAGUUAGUUGGUGGGGUGAAGGCCUACCAAGACGAUGAUGCAUAGCCGAGUGGAGAGACUGAUCGGCCACAUUGGGACUGAGAAACGGCCCAAACUCCUACGGGAGGCUGCAGUAGGGAAUCUUCCACAAUGGACGAAAGUCUGAUGGAGCAACGCCGCGUGUGUGAUGAAGGCUUUCGGGUCGUAAAGCACUGUUGUAUGGGAAGAAAUGCUAGGCUAGGAGAUGAGCUUAGUUUGACGGUACCAUACCAGAAAGGGACGGCUAAAUACGUGCCAGCCGCCGCGGUAA